ACGAAGGGUGCAAGCGUUGUUCGGAUUUAUUGGGCGUAAAGCGCGCGUAGGCGGACCUUUAAGUCAGAUGUGAAAUCUCGGGGCUCAACCUCGAAACUGCGUCUGAAACUGGAGGUCUAGAAUCUUGGAGGGGGAAGGGGAAUUUCUCAUGUAGGGGUAAAAUCCGUAGAUAUGAGAAGGAACACCAGAGGCGAAGGCGCCUUCCUGGACAAGUAUUGACGCUGAGGCGCGAAAGCGUGGGGAUCAAACAGGAUUAGAUACCCUGGUAGUCCACGCUGUAAACGAUGAAUACUAGAUAUUGGGGGAUUUGACCCCUUCAGUGUCGUAGCUAACGCGUUAAGUAUUCCGCCUGGGAAGUACGGUCGCAAGACUA
rnacentral:rRNA from 1 species